UACGUAGGGCGCAAGCGUUGUCCGGAAUUAUUGGGCGUAAAGGGUAGGUAGGUGGUCUCGUUUGUCUGGGGUGAAAGCCUUGAGCUUAACUCAAGAAGUGCCUUAGAAACGGCGAGACUAGAGUCUUGGAGAGGGUCGUGGAAUUCCCGGUGUAGCGGUGAAAUGCGUAGAGAUCGGGAGGAACACCAGAGGCGAAGGCGGCGACCUGGACAAGUACUGACACUCAACUACGAAAGCGUGGGGAGCAAACAGG
rnacentral:rRNA from 1 species